AGCAGCCGCGGUAAUUCCAGCUCCAAUAGCGUAUAUUAAAGUUGCUGCAGUUAAAAAGCUCGUAGUUGAAUUUCGGGAUCAGUGGGUCGGUCGUGCCACUGGUAUGUACUGGCCCUACUGGUUCCUCCUUCUUGAAGAACUGUAAUGCCAUUAAUUUGGUGUUGCAGGGAAACAGGACUGUUACUUUGAAAAAAUUAGAGUGUUUAAAGCAGGCAAUCGCUUGAAUACAUUAGCAUGGAAUAAUGAAAUAGGACGUUCGAUCCUAUUUUGUUGGUUUCUAGGAUUGACGUAAUGAUUAAUAGGGAUAGUUGGGGGCAUUAGUAUUCAAUUGUCAGAGGUGAAAUUCUUGGAUUUAUUGAAGACUAACUACUGCGAAAGCAUUUGCCAAGGAUGUUUUCAUUAAUCAAGAACGAAAGUUAGGGGAUCGAAGACGAUCAGAUACCGUCGUAGUCUUAACCAUAAACUAUGCCGACUAGGGAUCGGAUGAUGUUAAUUUUUAAUGACUCAUUCGGCGCCUUAA
rnacentral:rRNA from 1 species